rnacentral:rRNA from 1 species
UGGGGAAUCUUGCGCAAUGGGCGAAAGCCUGACGCAGCAACGCCGCGUGUGUGAUGAAGGUCUUCGGAUCGUAAAGCACUGUCGCGAGGGACGAAUAAGCCUUUGGCUAACAUCCAGGGGCGAUGACGGUACCUCGAGAGGAAGCACCGGCUAACUCUGUGCCAGCAGCCGCGGUAAUACAGAGGGUGCGAGCGUUGUUCGGAAUUAUUGGGCGUAAAGCGCGUGUAGGCGGCUUAGCAAGUUGGGUGUGAAAGCCCUCGGCUUAACCGAGGAAGUGCGCCCAAAACUGCUUGGCUUGAGUACCGGAGAGGGUGGCGGAAUUCCCGGUGUAGAGGUGAAAUUCGUAGAUAUCGGGAGGAACACCAGCGGGGAAGGCGGCCACCUGGACGGAUACUGACGCUGAGACGCGAAAGCGUGGGGAGCAAACAGG